GGUUCUGUAGUGUAAGCGGUUAUCACAUUGGAUUCUGAUGCAUCAAGCUUCCGGAUCUUUCCAAUAAUCUGAGUUCGAGUCUCAGCAGGACCU